rnacentral:misc_RNA from 1 species
AAGUCAUAACAAGGUUUCUGUAGGUGAACCUGCAGAAGGAUCAUUAUUGAAUUGUAAAAUGGGGAGUUGCUUUCGAGCACUCCUCUACCUUUCUUUAUUCCUAAACACCUGUGAAUCGUUGCUGAGUUCGCUCAGUGGCACCAUUUUUUACACAAACACUUAAUAGUUUUGAACGUAUAAAACAAAAACAAAAAUAUAAA